CGUUCCCUGCGGUGUUCGAGGCCGGUUGCUAUUUCUCUGAACCAAUGCAUACGUGCAAGGCUGUAGUCUUUUCCGAUGCGGGUGUGCGCGUGACACGUUUCAUGUGCCCAAAACAUCUUUGACCACGGCCGUCUUGGACCCCGGUUCAAGAGUCAGCGACGGGUCACGGCACAGGCGGGGAGCCU
rnacentral:other from 1 species